AUUAAACGCUGGCGGCAUGCCUUACACAUGCAAGUCGAACGGCAGCACGGGGCAACCUGGUGGCGUGUGGCGAACGGGUGAGUAAAGCAUCGGAACGUGCCCUGGAGUGGGGGAUAACGUAGCGAAAGUUACGCUAAUACCGCAUAUUCUGUGAGCAGGAAAGCAGGGGAUCGCAAGACCUUGCGCUCUGGGAGCGGCCGAUGUCGGAUUAGCUAGUUGGUGGGGUAAAGGCCUACCAAGGCGACGAUCCGUAGCGGGUCUGAGAGGAUGAUCCGCCACACUGGGACUGAGACACGGCCCAGACUCCUACGGGAGGCAGCAGUGGGGAAUUUUGGACAAUGGGCGGAAGCCUGAUCCAGCCAUGCCGCGUGAGUGAAGAAGGCC
rnacentral:rRNA from 1 species